AGGCUUGAACAGGUGCUGCAUGGCUGUCGUCAGCUCGUGUCGUGAGAUGUUCGGUUAAGUCCGCUAACGAGCGCAACCCUCGCUGUGUGUUACAAGUGUCACACGGAACUGCCGGUCAUAAACCGGAGGAAGGUGGGGGAUGACGUCAAGUCAGCAUGGCCUUUAUAUCCUGGGCUACACACACGCUACAAUGGGAAGGGACAAUAGGUUGCGAAACCGCGAGGUGGAGCCAAUCCAGCAAAACUUCCCUCAGUUCAGAUUGCAGGCUGCAACUCGCCUGCAUGAAGUUGGAGUUGCUAGUAAACGCAGGUCAGCCAUACUGCGUUGAAUACGUUCCCGGGGCUU
rnacentral:rRNA from 1 species